GCCUUCGUGGUGUAAUGGUCAGCAAUACUGAGCCGGUAUUUCAGAGGUCCGUGGUUCGAUUCCCGGCGAAGGAA
rnacentral:tRNA from 1 species